rnacentral:rRNA from 1 species
UACAGAGGUCUCAACCGUUGUUCGGAUUCAUUGGGCGUAAAGGGUGCGUAGGCGGUCGGGUAAGUCGGAUGUGAAAUCUCAGGGCUCAACCCUGAAACUGCAUUCGAUACUGCCUGGCUAGGGUACUGGAGAGGAGACUGGAAUUUACGGUGUAGCAGUGAAAUGCGUAGAUAUCGUAAGGAAGACCAGUGGCGAAGGCGAGUCUCUGGACAGUUACCGAUGCUGAGGCACGAAGGUCAGGGGAGCAAACGGG